rnacentral:lncRNA from 8 species
AUGUGUGGGGGAGGGGGGGCACACGGGGUAGCGGCGGAGCAGAGGAGCGAACCAGAGCCAAUCUGGGAGAAGAGGGAGAAAUUGGAGGAGAGUGAAUGGAGAGAGUCAGAGACCGUCAGUGAGUUGAUGGAGAAAUUGGAAGAGAGAGAAAUGAGAGAGUUGUUGUGUUGGUGUAUGAUGCACGACAUUCGCCCUAAGGAGCGUGUUAUCUGUUUGAUGCCACCUGAGUCAGCUCUCCGUACUCGUCCUGAGGAGCGUGCUAGCAGUCUGGUAAAAACUGUGCCGGCUCCAUGCACCAGGUCUCCAGUACGCCUCCACAGCCCUGUACGUCCUGUGCCAGCUCCCCGCACUCGCCGUGCGAAGUGUGUCAUCGUUCCGGUACUAUUUGUGCCGGCCCUACGCACCAGGUCUCCAGUGCGCCUCCACAGCCCAGUACGUCCUGUGCCAGCUCCUCGCACUCGCCCUGAAGAGCGUGUCACCAGUCCGGUGCAACCUGUGCCGGUCCCACGCAUCAGGCCUCUAGUGCGCCUCCCCAGUCCGGCAUGUCCUGUGCCUGCUCCCUGCACUCGCCCUGAAGUGUGUGUCACCAGUCCGGUACCACCUGUACCGGCUCCACGCACUAGGCCUCCAGUGCGCAUCAACAGUCCAGGGCUUCCGGCAACGGUCCCCAGUCCAGAGCUUCUGGCAACGGUCCCCAGUCCAGAGCUUCCGGCGACGGUCCCCAGUCCAGAGCUUCCGGCGACGGUCCCCAGUUCAGAGCUUCCGGCGACGGUCCCCAGUCCAGAGAUUCCGACGACGGUCCCCAGUCCAGAGCUUCCGGCGACGGUCCCCAGUCCAGAGCUUCCGGCGAUGGUCCCCAGUCCAGAGCUUCCGGCGACGGUUCCCAGUCCAGAGCUUCCGGCGACGGUUGCCAAUCCAGUGCUUCCGGCGAUGGUUCCCAGUCCAGAGCUUCCGGCGACGGUUCACAGUCCGGAACCUCCUACGACUGUCCACAGUCCGGAACCUCCUACGACGGUCCACAGUCCGGAACCUCCUGCGGCGGUCCACAGUCCGGAACCUCCUGCGACGGUCCACAGUCCGGAACCUCCUGCGACGGUCCACAGGCCGGAGCCCUCCUUUGCACCUGUGCCCAGUCCAGGCACGGCGUCCAGUCCAGCUCCAAGGCCGGAGCCUUCCUCUGCGCCGGUGCCCAGUCCAGGCACGACAUCCAGUCCCGCUCCAUGGCAGGAGCCUUCCUCUGCGCCGAUGUCCAGUCCAGGCACGGCGUCCAGUCCCGCUCCAGGGACGGAGGCUUCCUUUGCGCUGGUGCCCAGUCCGGGUGCGGCGUUCAACCCAGCUCCAUGGCCGGGGUCCUCCUCUGCGCCGAUGGCCCAGUCCGGGCACGACGUUCUACCCGGCUCCAUGGCCGGACCCGUGGUCUGGGCGGGGGCAAAGUCCCACACCAGAGCCGCCACCGAUGCUGGCGGAUCCGCGAGCGGAGUGGGUACUUCGCCCCGCACCGGAGCCGCCACCGACGCUAGAUGCCCACCCGGACCCUCUCCUGUAGAGUCAUGUUUUGCGGCCGGAGUCCACACCUUUGGGGGGGGGGUACUCUCACGCCCUGACCAUAGAGAGCCUUUUAUUCUCUAUGUUGUUUAG